rnacentral:rRNA from 1 species
UACGAAGGGUGCAAGCGUUACUCGGAAUUACUGGGCGUAAAGCGUGCGUAGGCGGUUUGUUAAGUCCGCUGUGAAAGCCCUGGGCUCAACCUGGGAAUUGCAGUGGAUACUGGCAAGCUAGAGUGCGGUAGAGGAUGGUGGAAUUCCUGGUGUAGCGGUGAAAUGCGCAGAUAUCAGGAGGAACACCAGUGGCGAAGGCGGCACUCUGGGCCGGUACUGACGCUGAGGAGCGAAAGCGUGGGGAGCGAACAGG